CACGGAGUUAGCCGGGGCUUCUUCCCUCGAUACUGUCAGUCCGCAGGGAUGUUAGCCCUGCGGGUAUUCAUCUCGGUCGAAAGGAGUUUACGAGCCGAAGCCCUUCAUCCUCCACGCGGCGUUGCGUCGUCAGGCUUGCGCCCAUUGCGAACAAUUCCCUACUGCUGCCUCCCGUAGGAGUCUGGACCGUGUCUCAGUUCCAGUGUGUCCGUCCGCCCUCUCAGGCCGGAUACCGAUCGUCGCCUUGGUGAGCCGUUACCCCACCAACUAGCUAAUCGGACGUAGGCCCCUCUUCAAGCGCCAGGUCUUGCGAUCCCCGGCUUUGAUAUCCGCGCAUCCAAGCGCGGUAUGUCAUGCGGUAUUAGCCCUCCUUUCGGAAGGUUAUCCCCCGACUCGAAGGCAGGUCGCCCACGCGUUACUCACCCGUUUGCCACGCUAACAACCCCUUGCGGGGUCUUCGCGUACGACUUGCAUGUAUUAGGCACGCCGCCAGCGUUGAUUCUGUAGCCAGGAGU
rnacentral:rRNA from 1 species